rnacentral:misc_RNA from 1 species
GUAGGUGAACCUGCGGAAGGAUCAUUACAUUCAGUAGCUUGCUACUGUUAGGGGGGUCGAUCAGCCUGUAUAGUAUCACUACUGAUGAGCAGCACAACCCCCUGUCUGUACCCUUGUCUUUUGCGCACUCAUGUUUCCUCGGCGGGUCUAUGCCCGCCGGCUGGACAAUCCUAUAACCUUUUUAAUUUUCAAUCAGCGUCUGAAAAACCUAAUAAUUACAACUUUCAACAACGGAUCUCUUGGUUCUG